rnacentral:lncRNA from 1 species
GGCAGUCCAAGUGAGAUCCGAUGAUCAAGAAAAAAAUCAUACGAGUAUAAUAUGAGUUCUAAGGGUUUUGAGAUUCCUUUUACUAUCAGAAAAAAUAAAAAAUUCACCUAUAAAUAGGGGAUCCGAGAAUAAGAGUAGAGGAAAAAAAAUCAGUAGACACAUGAGAAAAAGUUAGAGAAAAAAAUUAGAAAGGUUUAGGGAUCCAAGAGUGAG